ensembl:snoRNA SNORD82 Small nucleolar RNA SNORD82
UGCACAGGUGAUGAGUGUUUAGGGACUUAAUCCUGACUUUGUGAUGUGGUGUUUGCUCUGAUGUGC